GGUGAUGGCACAGUUGAUAGAGCAUCUGGCUUGGCAUGCAGAAGGUCCCAGGUUUAAUCCCUGGGAUCACCA
rnacentral:tRNA from 1 species